AGCUCUCUUAAGGGUAUAUAUGUAUGACUGGUUCACUUUUGACAUUGGAUUUCAAAUAAAGUGCUGUACUAUUCAGAAGAAUUAGCUUGAAAACAGACCCGGGUAGGAGAGAAAUAUUGCCUAGUUGAAGAAGGGAAACUGAGGAAAUGAUAAAAAAGAACAUAGAAAUGGGAAUCAAGAAAAAAAGAAACCUAGAGGGAAGUCUGCUUUUCUCAGACAUUGACGGAAUUAGCAGAACCGCUAGAUUACUCAAGAUGAAUGAAAGCAAUUAAAGUUACUUUCCCAAUGAAGAGAGGUACAGUAAAGAUUUCU
rnacentral:misc_RNA from 1 species